GACGAACGCUGGCGGCGUGCUUAACACAUGCAAGUCGAACGGUGAAGCGCCUUCCUUUUUGGUGGGUGUGGAUGAGUGGCGAACGGGUGAGUAACACGUGAGUAACCUGCCCCCUUCUUCUGGAUAACCGCAUGAAAGUGUGGCUAAUACGGGAUAUUCUGGGUCUGUCGCAUGAUGGGUCUGGGAAAGAUAUUGUUUCGGUGGGGGAUGGGCUCGCGGCCUAUCAGCUUGUUGGUGGGGUGAUGGCCUACCAAGGCGGUGACGGGUAGCCGGCCUGAGAGGGUGGCCGGUCACACUGGGACUGAGACACGGCCCAGACUCCUACGGGAGGCAGCAGUGGGGAAUAUUGCACAAUGGGCGCAAGCCUGAUGCAGCGACGCCGCGUGAGGGAUGGAGGCCUGCGGGUUGUGAACCUCUUUCGCCAGUGAAGCAGGCCUGCCUCGUUUGUGGGUGGGUUGACGGUAGCUGGAUAAGAAGCGCCGGCUAACUACGUG
rnacentral:rRNA from 1 species